ACUAACAAGGAUUCCCCUAGUAACUGCGAGUGAAGCGGGAAAAGCUCAAAUUUAAAAUCUGGCGGUCUCUGGCCGUCCGAGUUGUAAUCUAGAGAAGUAAUGCCCGUGCUGGACCGUGUAUAAGUCUCCUGGGAUGGGGCGUCAUAGAGGGUGAGAAUCCCGUCUUUGACACGGACUACCAGUGCAUUGUGGUAUGCUCUCAAAGAGUCGAGUUGUUUGGGAAUGCAGCUCAAAAUGGGUGGUAAAUUCCAUCUAAAGCUAAAUACUGGCGAGAGACCGAUAGCGAACAAGUACCGUGAGGGAAAGAUGAAAAGAACUUUGGAAAGAGAGUUAAACAGUACGUGAAAUUGCUGAAAGGGAAACGCUUGAAGUCAGUCGCGUUGGCCGGGGAUCAGCCUUGCUUCUGCAUGGUGUACUUUCUGGUUGACGGGUCAGCAUCAAUUUUGACCGCUGGAAAAGGUUCAGGGGAAUGUGGCAGCUCCGGCUGUGUUAUAGCCCUUGUUCACAUACAGCGGUUGGGAUUGAGGAACUCAGCACGCCGAAAGGCCGGGUUUCGACCACGUUCGUGCUUAGGAUGCUGGCAUAAUGGCUUUAAGCGACCCGUCUUGAAACACGGACCAAGGAGUCUAACAUGCCUGCGAGUAUUUGGGUGGAAAACCCAAGUGCGUAAUGAAAGUGAAAGUUGAGAUCCCUGUCGUGGGGAGCAUCGACGCCCGGACCAGAACUUUUGGGACGGAUCCGCGGUGGAGCAUGUAUGUUGGGACCCGAAAGAUGGUGAACUAUGCCUGAAUAGGGUGAAGCCAGAGGAAACUCUGGUGGAGGCUCGUAGCGAUUCUGACGUGCAAAUCGAUCGUCAAAUUUGGGUAUAGGGGC
rnacentral:rRNA from 1 species